UACGGAGGGGGCUAGCGUUGUUCGGAAUUACUGGGCGUAAAGCGCACGUAGGCGGCUUUGCAAGUCAGAGGUGAAAGCCCGGGGCUCAACCCCGGAAUUGCCUUUGAGACUGCAUCGCUAGAACGUCGGAGAGGUGAGUGGAAUUCCGAGUGUAGAGGUGAAAUUCGUAGAUAUUAGGAAGAACACCAGUGGCGAAGGCGGCUCACUGGUCCGGUACUGACGCUGAGGUGCGAAAGCGUGGGGAGCAAACAGG
rnacentral:rRNA from 1 species